ACCUAAAGACUAAAAACACAUCAUGUUAUGGUUCAUUAAUGGUUGAGAAUGAUGAGAAUUUCUUUCAUGGCAUAUUAUCAUCAUCAUCAUCCGGAGAUCAUCAUUAUCAUCAUCAUCAUCAUCAUCAUCAACAAUUGGCUUCUUCAACCUCAAAGCCGGCUGAUAAUUCUAUCUCCAUCCCUUCUGUCUCCAACACCAACACUACCACCAUAAAACGCCCACUUCAACCUCCUCCUCAUCAGAAUUACUGGAAUCAUCAUCAAUAUCAAGCAGGAUCAAUCGGGUCUUCAUCGUCCAGCAAGCGAUUUCAUGGUGACCUGAACAUCAAUGGAGGUGGCAGCACUGGAAAUGAUCAUGAUCAUGAUCACGACCAUGAU
rnacentral:lncRNA from 1 species